ACGCUGGCGGCGUGCCUAACACAUGCAAGUCGAGCGAGAAAUAAAGGAAUGAAGCUUCAGUAGAUUUUCUUUAUGGAAAGCGGCGGACGGGUGAGUAACGCGUAGGCAACCUGCCCUGUACAGGGGGAUAGCCACCCGAAAAGGUGAUUAAUACCCCAUAACGCAAGAGAUACACAUGUAUCACUUGUCAAAGAUUUAUCGGUAUAGGAUGGGCCUGCGUCUGAUUAGCUAGUUGGUAGGGUAACGGCUUACCAAGGCAACGAUCAGUAGCCGACCUGAGAGGGUGAUCGGCCACAUUGGAACUGAGACACGGUCCAAACUCCUACGGGAGGCAGCAGUGGGGAAUAUUGCACAAUGGGCGCAAGCCUGAUGCAGCAACGCCGCGUGAAGGAUGAAGGCCUUCGGGUUGUAAACUUCUGUCCUAGGGGAAGAAACAAAUGACAUUACCCUUGGAGGAAGCCCCGGCUAACUACGUGCCAGCAGCCGCGGUAAUACGUAGGGGGCGAGCGUUAUCCGGAAUUAUUGGGCGUAAAGAGUGCGUAGGUGGCACCUUAAGCGCAGGGUUUAAGGCAAUGGCUCAACCAUUGUUCGCCUUGCGAACUGGGGUGCUUGAGUGCAGGAGGGGAAAGUGGAAUUCCUAGUGUAGCGGUGAAAUGCGUAGAUAUUAGGAGGAACACCAGUGGCGAAGGCGACCUUCUGGACUGUUACUGACACUGAGGCACGAAAGCGUGGGGAGCAAACAGGAUUAGAUACCCUGGUAGUCCACGCCGUAAACGAUGAGCACUAGGUGUCGGGGUCGCAAGACUUCGGUGCCGCAGUUAACGCAUUAAGUGCUCCGCCUGGGGAGUACGCACGCAAGUGUAAAACUCAAAGGAAUUGACGGGGACCCGCACAAGCAGCGGAGCAUGU
rnacentral:rRNA from 1 species